CCUACAAAACAUCUCAAGAUCAUCUAGAGCUCUUCUUUAGCUGUUUACGAAGCAGAGGAGGUUUUAAUAAUAACCCUUCUGCCUAUCAAUUACGAUCAGCUAUAAGAGGCGUUAUGAUAGCAAAGAUGGGAGCCUUAUGCACAGAUGUUCCAGAUAUCCAAAAAUUAUCGCCAUUCGUUGAUAACAUCGCAACUUAUAUAUCAGGAUAUAUAACACGUAAACUUAUAUCCGAAAAUAAGAUAAACAAAAUGAAAAUACCAACAUUCGUCAGAAGCUGACCAAAACCAUUCUAUUUAAAGGAC